GACGAACGCUGGCGGCGUGCUUAACACAUGCAAGUCGAACGGAAAGGCCCCCUUGUGGGGUACUCGAGUGGCGAACGGGUGAGUAACACGUGAGUAACCUACCCUUUACUUUGGGAUAACUUCAGGAAACUGGGGCUAAUACCGGAUAGGAGCUCCUGCUGCAUGGUGGGGGUUGGAAAGUUUCGGCGGUUGGGGAUGGGCUCGCGGCUUAUCAGCUUGUUGGUGGGGUAGUGGCUACCCAAGGCUUUGGCGGGUAGCCGGCCUGAGAGGGUGACCGGCCACAUUGGGACUGAGAUACGGCCCAGACUCCUACGGGAGGCAGCAGUGGGGAAUAUUGCACAAUGGGCGGAAGCCUGAUGCAGCAACGCCGCGUGCGGGAUGACGGCCUUCGGGUUGUAAACCGCUUUCGCCUGUGACGAAGCGUGAGUGACGGUAAUGGGUGAAGAAGCACCGGCUAACUACGUG
rnacentral:rRNA from 1 species